rnacentral:lncRNA from 1 species
AUGUCCCCAUAGGCAGUUGGAGAUGAGCAGUGAGCAUUGGUUUGGUUUGCUCUGCCUCACUAUUCUUCAAUAACAACAGACCCAUUGUUAUUGGAGACUGAUGACGUCAGAAGUUUUGGCCAGCUGUAAGUUCUCACACAUAGCCUUUGAUUUCAAAGAAGAAGAAUAAAAGGAUAAUCUGACAGGUGAGUGGAACAUAGAAUCUCAUAUAGAGCUUUGCCAAUGACUUAGUUAGGGUUUUAUUUCUGUGAAGAGACACCAUAACUCUAGCAACUCUUAUAAAGAAAAACAUUUAAUUGGGGCUGGCUUACCGUUUCAGAGGAAUAAUCCACUAUCAUCAUGGUGAAAAACAUGGUUGGAAAGGAGAUGAGAGUUCUACAUCUUGACCCACAGGCAGCAGAAGGAGACAUGUUGGUCAGACUUGAGAUUCUGAGAACUUCAAAGCCCACCUCCCCACACUGACAUAUUCUCUCCAACAAGGCCACACCUAUUCCAACAAGGCAAUAUCUCCUAUAAUUCUGCUCCCUAUGGACUAAGUAUUCAAGUAUAUGGGGGCCAUUCCCAUUCAAACCACCAUCACAACCAAGCAGUGGUAGGAAUGGACAUUUAAAGAACACUUUAUUUCAUUAAUUACAUUAUAUAUACACAUGUAUAUGAUUAAUGUUACAUAAUUGUAAUUAAUAACUCUUACAGUAAAUUAAAUAUCACUACCCAUUUUAAAGUUAAAGAAACUGAGUCAUAUCAAUGCAUCUUAAGUUGCCCAAAUUCAUAGAGCAAAUAAAUCAGAAUGAUUUAAAAGUGAGUCUGGUUCUAAGCUUACACUGAUCAUGUAGUAUACAAAAUGUGCCAGCCUUUCUAGAAUAUAUAAAAAAUACAUAAGAAAAUAAAUAUCACAGACAGAGAAGGUAAAGCCUUGCACUGAGGAACUAAGGUAAAAAAAUCAAUGCAAUGAUCUUGACAAUUAUAAUAUUGAAUAUUUGAUUGAAGAAACUAGAGGUUUUGGUGGCAAUAUACUUUGUUGAUAAAUAUAGACAAAUUUUUCUUUAUAAAUAUAAAUACAGAUAUAGUUCUUCUUUGCAGAUUUUAAGUAAAGAAAUGAGUCAUUGAUGGGAUGAUGCAGACAUUCCCUUCUGUUAAUUUAGUCCUGAAUUCUUUAAGUAGUAAAGAUUGGCAUCUAUUCUAAAAAGAGUAAAAACCAUGGUGGGAAAGGCACGAGACCGCAGUAGACUGAAGCUUGUGUGGAGAGCUGCAGGGCCACUUGAUAGAAUGUGUCAGAGCCUAGGAAUGGUAACACACGUGCAAGUGCAGGGGAUUGGAGCUGUGUGGAGAGUGAGAGUGCAAACACAUUGAGGAAAUUGUCAAUGGAAAGUGGGGCGUUGUGAGUCAGAGUCUAAGCAGAAGAUCAAGGGCAUCCACGGUGAAGGUGACCCAGCCUGGGAUGUCAGAGCCCCUUAGGAUUUAGAGGUGACCAAGCUGAGAUAAUGUAGGAUGACACGGUCCACAUAGGGAGUCAAUGGUAGUAGAAAUAAGAGUUUGGCUUGAUGCAUUAGAAUUGAUCAACUAAAUAAACAUAUUAAAGAUACUGAAAACUAGAUUAUUCAAGACUAGAGGAAGGAGUUACAAAAAUACAGCAUUUUAAAAUAACCUUCAUUGUGUUGGUUUGGAAUUCAAGAUACCAGUGUGACUAUGGUUCUGUGACAAAUGAGUAGAUGCAGAAACAAAUACAUAUGGAGCUGGAGAGAUGGCUCAGCAGUUAAGAACACUGGCUGCUCUUCCAGAGGUCUUGAGUUCAAUUCGCAGCAACCACAUAGUGACUCACAACCAUCUGUAAUGGGAUCUGAUGUCAUCUUCUGGCAUGCAGAGGUGUACAUGCAGAUAGAGCACUCAUGCACCUGAAAUAAAGAAGUAAAUCUUUAAC